AGUGAACGCUGGCGGCAGGCUUAACACAUGCAAGUCGAACGGUAACAGGUCUUCGGAUGCUGACGAGUGGCGAACGGGUGAGUAAUGCAUCGGAACGUGCCCAGUCGUGGGGGAUAACGCAGCGAAAGCUGCGCUAAUACCGCAUACGAUCUAUGGAUGAAAGCGGGGGACCGUAAGGCCUCGCGCGAUUGGAGCGGCCGAUGUCAGAUUAGGUAGUUGGUGGGGUAAAGGCCCACCAAGCGAGCGAUCUGUAGCUGGUCUGAGAGGACGACCAGGCACACGGGGACUGAGACACGGCAGAGACUCCGACGGGAGGCAGCAGUGGGGAAUUUUGGACGAGGGGCGCAAGCCUGAUCCAGCAAUGCCGCGUGCAGGAAGAAGGCCUUCGGGUUGUAAACUGCUUUUGUACGGAACGAAACGGCUCUCUCUAAUACAGGGGGCUAAUGACGGUACCGUAAGAAUAAGCACCGGCUAACUACGUGCCAGCAGCCGCCGUAAUAC
rnacentral:rRNA from 1 species